rnacentral:lncRNA from 10 species
CUUAAUCAUUGUAUUUAAGUGGCACUUUUUAAUUUUCACACUUAAAGAAACUCAUAUAAGUGGGAAAGAAGACAGCUGUGAAAGGUAGAGAAGAACCAUGGCUCUAGACAGAGCUGUACUAAUAGGAGAGAAGAGAUUGAAAAUGUGAGCCCAGGUCCCAAGGAGCACAGAGGCAUGGUCAGAAGGUUGGUAGGAACAGGACAGAGGCAGCCAGGCCUGAGGUGUUUGGCAGAUCUGAGGAGGGCAGGGAUAGAGGGUGAGGGGAGGAGUGGGGCCAGAAUGAGGCUUGAGGGAUUCAAUGGAGGGCGAAAGUGCUGGGAAGGGAGGAGGGAUUGGAAAGAAAGGAGAAGGUGCUAAGAGCAUUAAGAGAAGGGAGGCUGAGAGGCUACAAAAAAGGACUGAGGGGGAGGAAGAAGCAGGUGGGAGACUCUGGGGCAGCAAACAUCUCAGAACCAGUCAGUAGGUGGUGUCCUUCAGAGGCUGUUGGAGAAGAGCAGCAUUGUCUGUUUGCCUCUGAAGAGUGAAGGUGAUCCAUGCACACCCCAAACUACCUCUGGACCAUCUGAGGGUAAGAGCCACCCUUUGCAGAGCACUAAUGCAGAGGGAAGAGCAGAAACAGGCACGUCCAUAACUACACCCUGAUAGUACUCAAGGCAGUCAGGCUUUUUGGCUGGACAGUUUUUCAGGCCUGUGGUACAUGCCUCCGUGCCUCUAAUCUGGGCAGGGCAAGGUGAGGAUGGAGUGGAAGGCAGGGGUAAUUCCCUUAGAAGGGAGGCAAGCUUCUCAUGGCAGCUGGGUCAUAUGAAGGCUGUGCUAGGGAAGAAAAGAUGCUAGGACACAUUCUCAGUACGCUCCCUGACCACUCCCCUUUUACUGAGUUGGUAGGGUGAGGGCGUAACCAUCGAAGGAAAAAUAGAACAUUCCUCACCCCCACCUCCACAUCCAUGCUGAGGAAAGUGUUAUUAUGUGGGUAAAAACUCAAGGAGUGUUGCUGACAGCAUCCAAGAACAGAGAUGAGGCCAGGGAAUGCAUCUCACAUGGCUCUUUUCUAAGAUUUUGACCUCAGGUCCCAGGACUAAGCAGCAGGCCAGAUGUAGAAGUUGCUGGAGUUUCAUCAGGUGUCUUCACAACAGCAGUGUGGGUUUCCUUUCCUUUUCCCCACCCACUUGCCAAGGAACUGCGGCCAUCAGACAACAUAUGGAGGUCUCAUCACCGGGAUGGUCCGUAACUGGAAAGGAGUUGGUCAUCUGGUGUUAGCAGCUCCUCUUUGUGUCGUAGCCUUUGGAAGGAAAGAGGGAGGAACACAGAAUAGCGUCCAUGUUUAAAAAACAUUUGCACCAUCAACAGACUGAAACUCUACAAGACAGUGGUCUUACUUUAAAAGUGUAAAGGAAUUCCCAUCCUCUUGAUCUUAGCAAGAUCAGAAAACCUCUGUUUACUACAAGAAUUGUUUCAGAAAGGGAAGUGAAAUCUGGCACAUGAAAAAUCCCAUUUCUAUCCACUCUCAAGAUAGUAACUUUGUAGCCAUAUGCCAUGUGUAUUUCAUCAUAGCAAAACAGUACUGUAGUGCACUGGGGACAGAUUUGCUGCCACUGCUGCUGCUGCUGCUGCUGCUGCCAUCACCACCUCCACCACCUCCUUCUGUUGCUUGGAUAAAGCUGAGGCAUGUGGCACUGUUGUGAGAUUCUUAGAAGAUACAGGCAAGUAGUCCUGGCUAGGACCCUACAAUUGAGUUUGCACCAUGAGGCUCUAAAUCUCAGCCUCUCUAGGUCCUGGUACUGUAUCUUUGGAAGACACACACAGGAAGGACUUAGAUACCUUCUGAAAAAG